rnacentral:rRNA from 1 species
UACGGGGGGGGCAAGCGUUGUUCGGAAUUACUGGGCGUAAAGGGCGCGUAGGCGGCCUUCUAAGUCGGACGUGAAAUCCCUCGGCUCAACCGAGGAACGUCGAUCGAUACUGCUGUUCUUGAGGAUUGCAGAGGAGACUGGAAUUCCCGGUGUAGCGGUGAAAUGUGUAGAGAUCGGGAGGAACACCGGUGGCGAAGGCGGGUCUCUGGGCAAUUCCUGACGCUGAGGCGCGAAAGCGUGGGGAGCAAACGGG